UUCACCGAAUACCGCGACGAGAGAGGGCC
rnacentral:sRNA from 1 species